rnacentral:siRNA from 1 species
AUCCUUUGAUGUGUUACUAUACCU